GUACCGUGAGGGAAAGGCGAAAAGAACCCCGGCGAGGGGAGUGAAAAAGAACCUGAAACCGUGUACGUACAAGCAGUGGGAGCACAGGUUUACCUGUGUGACUGCGUACCUUUUGUAUAAUGGGUCAGCGACUUAUAUUCUGUAGCAAGGUUAACCGUAUAGGGGAGCCGUAGGGAAACCGAGUCUUAACCGGGCGUUAAGUUGCAGGGUAUAGACCCGAAACCCGGUGAUCUAGCCAUGGGCAGGUUGAAGGUUGGGUAACACUAACUGGAGGACCGAACCGACUAAUGUUGAAAAAUUAGCGGAUGACCUGUGGCUGGGGGUGAAAGGCCAAUCAAACCGGGAGAUAGCUGGUUCUCCCCGAAAGCUAUUUAGGUAGCGCCUCGUGAAUUCAUCUCCGGGGGUAGAGCACUGUUUCGGCUAGGGGGCCAUCCCGGCUUACCAACCCGAUGCAAACUGCGAAUACCGGAGAAUGUUAUCACGGGAGACACACGGCGGGUGCUAACGUCCGUCGUGAAGAGGGAAACAACCCAGACCGCCAGCUAAGGUCCCAAAGUCAUGGUUAAGUGGGAAACGAUGUGGGAAGGCCCAGACAGCCAGGAUGUUGGCUUAGAAGCAGCCAUCAUUUAAAGAAAGCGUAAUAGCUCACUGGUCGAGUCGGCCUGCGCGGAAGAUGUAACGGGGCUAAACCAUGCACCGAAGCUGCGGCAGCGAACGUAUCACCCAAGACAACUUUACGGAGUUGACGAUUGACGGAGCGAAGCGACGUCAAAGCGUUCAUUAAAGUCGAGUUGGCUUAGGGAUACGUUCGUUGGGUAGGGGAGCGUUCUGUAAGCCUGUGAAGGUGUGUCGUGAGGCAUGCUGGAGGUAUCAGAAGUGCGAAUGCUGACAUAAGUAACGAUAAAGCGGGUGAAAAGCCCGCUCGCCGGAAGACCAAGGGUUCCUGUCCAACGUUAAUCGGGGCAGGGUGAGUCGACCCCUAAGGCGAGGCCGAAAGGCGUAGUCGAUGGGAAACGGGUUAAUAUUCCCGUACUUGGUGUUACUGCGAAGGGGGGACGGAGAAGGCUAUGUUGGCCGGGCGACGGUUGUCCCGGUUUAAGCGUGUAGGUGUGUGUUCCAGGUAAAUCCGGUUCACUUUAACACUGAGGCGUGACGACGAGGCACUACGGUGCUGAAGCAACAAAUGCCCUGCUUCCAGGAAAAGCCUCUAAGCAUCAGGUAACACGAAAUCGUACCCCAAACCGACACAGGUGGUCAGGUAGAGAAUACCAAGGCGCUUGAGAGAACUCGGGUGAAGGAACUAGGCAAAAUGGUGCCGUAACUUCGGGAGAAGGCACGCUGACACGUAGGUGAAGUGAUUUACUCAUGGAGCUGAAGUCAGUCGAAGAUACCAGCUGGCUGCAACUGUUUAUUAAAAACACAGCACUGUGCAAACACGAAAGUGGACGUAUACGGUGUGACGCCUGCCCGGUGCCGGAA
rnacentral:rRNA from 1 species